CCUGGCCCUAGAUUCAUUGCAGGUGUGGCUGCUGUGUCACAUGUGCGUCGCUAGGUGGCGGAGAAGAGAGAGGCUAUGUAUAAGCUCCAUGCUUUGACCUGUGAGCAUGUGAAGGUUAGUAGCCUAACAGU